AGUGAACGCUGGCGGCAGGCCUAACACAUGCAAGUCGAGCGGCAGCGCGGGGGCAACCCUGGCGGCGAGCGGCGGACGGGUGAGGAAUUCGUCGGAAUCUGCCUUUUUGUGGGGGAUAACGUAGGGAAACUUACGCUAAUACCGCAUACGUCCUACGGGAGAAAGUGGGGGACCGCAGGGCCUCACGCAGAAGGAUGAGCCGACGACCGAUUAGCUAGUUGGUGGGGUAAAGGCCCACCAAGGCGACGAUCGGUAGCUGGUCUGAGAGGAUGAUCAGCCACACUGGGACUGAGACACGGCCCAGACUCCUACGGGAGGCAGCAGUGGGGAAUAUUGGACAAUGGGCACAAGCCUGAUCCAGCCAUGCCGCGUGUGUGAAGAAGGCCUUCGGGUUGUAAAGCACUUUUGUCCGGAAAGAAAUCCCUGGAGCUAAUACCUUCGGGGGAUGACGGUACCGGAAGAAUAAGCACCGGCUAACUUCGUG
rnacentral:rRNA from 1 species